rnacentral:lncRNA from 1 species
CUUAACACUACCAUAAAACAUAUGUUCGAUGAAAUGGUGUUGAAAAUGGCCAACCAUGCUGCUAUUAUGUUUUUGUUAAAAUGCAUGGUACUAUGAUGAUUCUGUUGAAUGCAUACUGCUUGUACGCAUGUUGCAGCAUUUGUGCAUGUUGCAGCAACAUAUUUUCUGUUUUAGUUGCAAUGUAAUUUAGUUUGGUUGAGAAUGAACUUUGAUGUUGAUGUUUUGAUGGGUUGGUUGAGCUGAUAAGUCAGCUUAUCCAUGUGUACAAGCAAUGUUUUUAAAGUUACUAGGCUACUUAGUGGUAUUAGGUAGUAAUAACUGAUGUAGUUGGCUAUAAAUGUAUUGUUUUUCUUAUUGAAAAAUUAAGCAUAUCAGUUGUGAAACUCAGAUUGCUUCCUUGCUGCACGUUUGUGAGCAAGUAAAUUGUUUUUGUUUCUUCCUCCUUUGUUCUCUGUCUUGUUCUUUUUCGUUUUGCUGCUGCCAUUGUUCCAACAAAUGGUAUCAUGAGCCUAAGUCUUAAGGGACCAUUGAUUUUGCUUCCCCUGCUCAACAUCGGCUCAAACUUAUGAGACCUCCAAACAAGCUUCAAUAAGCUGAAGGAGGAGUUUCAAGGAAAGGUGUGAGCUUUCCAAAUGUGCAAGCUUAGCAAGAUGUCAAAGCUGCAAGCUUAGCAAAGUGCGAGCUGAUGAAGACACCUGUUGAAGACAAUAUGCAAAGAUGUGAGUCUGUCAAAGGUGUGAGUUCAGCAACAUGUGGAAGCUCAAUGUGUGUUGUAUAGUUGCAAGCCAAAAUGGCAGAAUGAAGGCAAGCAACUAUACUCGGGAACUGUUUGUGCAAGAAGAAACAAGUUGUCAACCAAGGCUGUGAAGGAGGAGAAGACUCCAUUUGGUGAACAAAUCUUUGGCACAAAAGACUGGGAUAGUCAAGUGUGUAAGUCAGAUUUGUUGUUUGUGAAUGAGGUCAAGGUUGAAAAUGAAUUGGUCAGCUUGAAUCAAAGCAUCUAAGAGCUGCCAAGUUCAAAAAACUUGAUGAAUGACUGGUAUUUGCAGCAUGGAGUCCAAGGAGGAGUGUUGAAAAUGGCCAACCAUGCUGCUAUUAUGUUUUUGUUAAAAUGCAUGGUACUAUGAUGAUUCUGUUGAAUGUAUACUGCUUGUAUGCAUGUUGCAGCAUUUGUGCAUGUUGCAGCAACAUAUUUUCUGUUUUAGUUGCAAUGUAAUUUAGUUUGGUUGAGAAUGAACUUUGAUGUUGAUGUUUUGAUUGGUUGGUUAAGCUGAUAAGUCAGCUUAUCCAUGUGUACAAGCAAUGUUUUUAAAGUUACUAGGCUACUUAGUGGUAUUAGGUAGUAAUAACUGAUGUAGUUGGCUAUAAAUGUAUUGUUUUUCUUAUUGAAAAAUUAAGCAUAUCAGUUGUGAAACUCAGAUUGCUUCCUUGCUGCACGUUUGUGAGCAAGUAAAUUGUUUUUGUUUCUUCCUCUUUUGUUCUCUGUCUUGUUCUUUUUCUUUUUGCUGCUGCCAUUGUUCCAACAAAUGGUAUCAUGAGCCUAAGUCUUAAGGGACCAUUGAUUUUGCUUCCCCUGCUCAACAUCAGCUCAAACUUAUGAGACCUCCAAACAAGCUUCAAUAAGCUGAAGGAGGAGUUUCAAGGAAAGGUGUGAGCUUUCCAAAUAUGCAAGCUUAGCAAGAUGUCAAAGCUGCAAGCUUAGCAAAGUGCGAGCUGAUGAAGACACCUGUUGAAGACAAUAUGCAAAGAUGUGAGUCUGUCAAAGGUGUGAGUUCAGCAACAUGUGGAAGCUCAAUGUGUGUUGUAUAGUUGCAAGCCAAAAUGGCAGAAUGAAGGCAAGCAACUAUACUCGAGAACUGUUUGUGCAAGAAGAAACAAGUUGUCAACCAAGGCUGUGAAGGAGGAGAAGACUCCAUUUGGUGAACAAAUCUUUGGCACAAAAGACUGGGAUAGUCAAGUGUGUAAGUCAGAUUUGUUGUUUGUGAAUGAGGUCAAGGUUGAAAAUGAAUUGGUCAGCUUGAAUCAAAGCAUCUAAGAGCUGCCAAGUUCAAAAAACUUGAUGAAUGACUGGUAUUUGCAGCAUGGAGUCCAAGGAGGAGUGGUGAAAAUGGCCAACCAUGCUGCUAUUAUGUUUUUGUUAAAAUGCAUGGUACUAUGAUGAUUCUGUUGAAUGCAUACUGCUUGUAUGCAUGUUGCAGCAUUUGUGCAUGUUGCAGCAACAUAUUUUCUGUUUUAGUUGCAAUGUAAUUUAGUUUGGUUGAGAAUGAACUUUGAUGUUGAUGUUUUGAUUGGUUGGUUGAGCUGAUAAGUCAGCUUAUCCAUGUGUACAAGCAAUGUUUUUAAAGUUACUAGGCUACUUAGUGGUAUUAGGUAGUAAUAACUGAUGUAGUUGGCUAUAAAUGUAUUGUUUUUCUUAUUGAAAAAUUAAGCAUAUCAGUUGUGAAACUCAGAUUGCUUCCUUGUUGCACGUUUGUGAGCAAGUAAAUUGUUUUUAUUUCUUCCUCCUUUGUUCUCUGUCUUGUUCUUUUUCUUUUUGCUGCUGCCAUUGUUCCAACAAAUGGUACAAAUCAUUUAAAGGAUUUAAAUUCAUGUGUUUUUACAUACAUACAUAGUUAAUUGAACAAUUCUUGGUUUGUUAUGAUCAUGCACAGAAUGUGCAAAAUUCUGAGGUGACGGAGGUUACUGAUCGGUCGCCCAAGCUGGAAUAAGGAAAUAAGUUUGGGUGCGUAUGCGAAAAGCUCAAUUUCGUUUGAAUUCAAAACAAAUGGUAAUUGACUCUUCUAUUUUCAUCAUGGCUUAACUAAUGCUCUAUAAAGUGACCAUAGUGACGCCCUUUUCAUUGUAGGUUGAGUUGCUCUACUGAAGUACGAGGCUGCAACUUUUGGUAAAAUGUGAAAGGUUAUUUCAGUUUUUUUAAAACUACUAUUUGAACUGUUCCAUUUCACAUUAUACCCUCAAAAUUGAAUUUCAAGUGCAUCAUGCAUGGCAUUGGGCUACAAACAUGUAAACUUUUACUAGUAAGGUUGACCCCUGUUUUAAGGAUUUGCCAACUUUUGAUGGUUACCAUAUCAAUGUCAGCUUAAAGCUAUCAAGUAUCUUUACAAAUAUAAUAUAUAUAUUAUUCCUUAAUGAGGGAUAAAAGUAGGCAAUUAUCUACUAAUGAUACGGCUGAUUCUGAAAAGACGGCCGAAAUUGAAUCAAUGGGUUGUUGGUAUUUGCCUGAUGGAAGAACAGGGCCUAAUGUUACGUGGAUUCUGAUCAAGUUUUAAAUUUUCAGUUGUAGGCUUUACUGAUUGUU